CUCGCCCGGGGACUACGAGCAUAAGCUUAAAACCCAAAGGACUUGGCGGUGCUUUAGACCCACCUAGAGGAGCCUGUUCUAGAACCGAUAACCCCCGUUCAACCUCACCCUCUCUUGUUUACCCCGCCUAUAUACCGCCGUCGUCAGCUUACCCUGUGAAGGAUAAAUAGUAAGCAAAAUUGGCACAGCCCCAAACGUCAGGUCGAGGUGUAGCGUAUGGGAGGGGAAGAAAUGGGCUACAUUUACUGACACAGUAAACACGGACAAUGAAUUGAAAUUAGUCAUAUGAAGGAGGAUUUAGCAGUAAGAAGGAAAACAGAGCGUUCCCCUGAAACCGGCCCUGAAGCGCGCACACACCGCCCGUCACUCUCCCCGAGCUCAAGACAACCAGUAAAUAAAGCACAGCAAUUGCAAAGGGGAGGCAAGUCGUAACAUGGUAAGUGUACCGGAAGGUGCACUUGGAAAAAU
rnacentral:rRNA from 1 species